rnacentral:rRNA from 1 species
ACGGGUGAGUAACGCGUGAGAAUCUAGCUUUAGGUUCGGGACAACCAUUGGAAACGGUGGCUAAUACCGGAUGUGCCGAAAGGUAAAAGGCUUGCUGCCUAGAGAUGAGCUCGCGUCUGAUUAGCUAGUUGGUAGUGUAAGGGACUACCAAGGCGACGAUCAGUAGCUGGUCUGAGAGGAUGAUCAGCCACACUGGGACUGAGACACGGCCCAGACUCCUACGGGAGGCAGCAGUGGGGAAUUUUCCGCAAUGGGCGAAAGCCUGACGGAGCAAUACCGCGUGAGGGAGGAAGGCUCUUGGGUUGUAAACCUCUUUUCUCAAGGAAUAAGAAAGUGAAGGUACUUGAGGAAUAAGCAUCGGCUAACUCCGUGCCAGCAGCCGCGGUAAUACGGAGGAUGCAAGCGUUAUCCGGAAUGAUUGGGCGUAAAGCGUCCGCAGGUGGUGAUGAAAGUCUGCUGUCAAAGAAUCAGGCUUAACCUGAUCAAGGCAGUGGAAACUACAUGACUAGAGUGCGUUCGGGGCAGAAGGAAUUCCUGGUGU